rnacentral:rRNA from 1 species
ACGCUGGCGGCAUGCCUUACACAUGCAAGUCGAACGGCAGCACGGAGCUUGCUCUGGUGGCGAGUGGCGAACGGGUGAGUAAUAUAUCGGAACGUACCCUAGAGUGGGGGAUAACGUAGCGAAAGUUACGCUAAUACCGCAUACGAUCUAAGGAUGAAAGUGGGGGAUCGCAAGACCUCAUGCUCGUGGAGCGGCCGAUAUCUGAUUAGCUAGCUGGUAGGGUAAAAGCCUACCAAGGCAUCGAUCAGUAGCUGGUCUGAGAGGACGACCAGCCACACUGGAACUGAGACACGGUCCAGACUCCUACGGGAGGCAGCAGUGGGGAAUUUUGGACAAUGGGCGAAAGCCUGAUCCAGCAAUGCCGCGUGAGUGAAGAAGGCCUUCGGGUUGUAAAGCUCUUUUGUCAGGGAAGAAACGGUGAGAGCUAAUAUCUCUUGCUAAUGACGGUACCUGAAGAAUAAGCACCGGCUAACUACGUGCCAGCAGCCGCGGUAAUACGUAGGGUGCAAGCGUUAAUCGGAAUUACUGGGCGUAAAGCGUGCGCAGGCGGUUUUGUAAGUCUGAUGUGAAAUCCCCGGGCUCAACCUGGGAAUUGCAUUGGAGACUGCAAGGCUAGAAUCUGGCAGAGGGGGGUAGAAUUCCACGUGUAGCAGUGAAAUGCGUAGAUAUGUGGAGGAACACCGAUGGCGAAGGCAGCCCCCUGGGUCAAGAUUGACGCUCAUGCACGAAAGCGUGGGGAGCAAAC